rnacentral:lncRNA from 1 species
UUUUAAGCAAACACACACACCCUUUGUUCCCUUCCCCAAUAAACUCCUCGUGGGUUUGUGAGUCUCGUGGUUGUGUUUCAUUGUGAGCACAACUGAAACAGAAGAACAACAAAACCAGGUGUGGUGGUCAGGCCAGGUGUGGUGGCACAUGUCUCAUCAAAGAGAUUAAGUGGUAGAGACAGGUUUUUCUGUGAGUUGGAAUCCAGCCUGGUCUACAUAGAGAGCUCCAAGUCUAGAUAGAGAGAUCUUGUCUCAAAAAAAAAAAAAAAAAAAACAGAAAGGGAGAUUCAAGGAUCAUUAUUGUGAUUAUUAUUAGUUUAUUCUGAAAAGCUUUGUGGCAGCAAAGUGUAAAAAAUGCGCAGAUUUCUGGGCACAUAAACUGCAAGGAAACAGAACACCUGCAAAGAUGAGUGAAGAGGAAUGAGAUAAAAAGUCUUUCUACAAAGAAAACCCUCAGUCUGGGUAGAGUCGAUGCUGAAUUUUAUCAAAUCUUUAUAGCGCUGAUCCCAAGAACUGGCCUGAGUUACCUGAAUAUCAAAACCAGAGAAGGUGCCCAGCAAUACGGCUCAGCUGGUAAUGGCACUUCCUGGAGCCACAUGGUGGAUACUAUACUCCAGCAGGUUAUCCUCUGACCUCUACAUUUGAGACACACACGUACAUGAAAACAGGUGUUUUUACACACACACACACACACACACAGAGAGAGAGAGAGAGAGAGAGAGAGAGAGAGAGAAACAGCCAAGCGGUGGUGGUGCACCCCUUUAACCCCAGCACUCAGGAGACAGAGGCAGGAGGAUCUCUGUGAGUUCUAGGACAGCCAGGGAUACACAGAGAAACCCUGUCUACAAACAAAUAAACAACCCCAAAGAAACAGUAACAACAACAACAAAACCCAUUUUGACUAACUAACAAUAUUUGACGAACAUGGAUGCAAAAUUUCUCAAGCAAAACCUAACAGUAUAUACACAGGGAUCCAACAAAAGAAAAUCAAUAAAUACAGUAAAUCAGCUGGGAGUGGCUCACCCCUAUAAUUCCAGAACUCAGGAAGCUGAGGCUGGAGAACUGCCAUCGGUGUAAGGCCAGCCUGAACAGCAUAGUUCCAGGCCAGCCUUAGCAACACACUGAGAUCUCCAUCUCAAAAACAAAACAAAAUAAGAACAACAACAAAACACAGGGCUGGAAAGAUGGCUGGCGGAGUGUGUGUGUGUGUGUGUGUGUGUGUGUGUGUGUGUGUUUUGUAUGACAUUUGCCUUACAGGGCUGAUGAGCUGAGUUCAGUCCCCAGAGCCCACGUAAAGGUGGAAGAAAGAGAAAAGACUCCACAAGGCUGUCCUCUGACCCCCACGUGUAUGCCAUGUCACCUAUAUGCUCACACAUAAUCCAUAAAAAUUUAGUAAAUUAAAAAAAACUCCCAAAAUACACAUCAACGGAAUGAAAAACAAAAACUGUAUAAUCACACAGCAUGAUGAUCACUUGUGAGGCUGAGGUUUGAGAAUCUCUAUGGGUUCCAGGCCAACAUGCCUGGUCUACAUAGCAAGUCCCAGGACAGCUAAUGUGGGGGUCCCUGUAAGGAAACUCAGUUCAGCAUGACAUAACCAGGCUAGUUGAAACUUCUAGAGUCUUGAGUAGUUUUCUUUUUUUUUUAAGAUUUAUUUUUAUGUGCAUUUGGUGUUUUGCUUGCAUGUAUGUGAAGGUGCCAGAUACCCUGGAGCUGGAGUUACAGACAAUUGUGAGCUGCUAUGUGGGUGCUGGGAGCUGAACCCACAGGCCCUCUGGAAGAGCAACCUUAGUGCUCUUAACUGCUGAGCCAUCUCUGCAGCCCCCUGGAGUGGUUUAUUUUUUACUUAUUUAAAAGUGCAGUAAAACUUCAUCAUUUCCUCAUGACAACUGUCACAACAAAGCUUACAGCAUGGCUACAGUGAAACUCCGUUGCAAAGCACAUCUCUUGCAAAAUGCCUGUGAGCUCUUCCACAAGGAUGGGUUCUAUUGACUGAGAGGCAGUGCUCAGGAUAAGGGGGAUUCCGGUGAGGACUGACUCUACAGAAUAGCAAAAGAUCACUAGGUUGUUAAACAACACCCAUUCCAACCUUCCGGGAGAAUGGUGUCUAUUUCUUCUGUUGAAGAGAAAAGCCUGUGUGUUUCACAAUGCUAUCUGUAAGACUUUGUGCCCUCUACAAGCCAAGGCUACAUAGAGAAACCCUGUCUUAGAAAGCUUAAAUAAAAAUAAAUAAAGUUUAAAAUCUUAAAACAAAACCAAACAAAAUCAGCCAAGAUGUGGUGUGUGCUUGUAAUCCCAGAGCUGGGGGUAGGAGAAUAAAUUGGGAGACACUGGGAAGAGAACAAACAAACAAGGGUAAGUAUGGCACCCCAACAACAUUGCCCUUGUCCUCUGGCUUCCAUUAUCUCCCCCACAAACAUGCAUCCUUACAAACACCCCACCCACCAACCCCCCCCACAGAAUUAAAGGUUCAGAAAGGCAGAUGUUGUGGUUGUCAGGGCCUGAGGACAGGUUGGAGGGCUUAGGCAGUGUGAGAGCGGAGGCAUCAGGAAAUAGGUUGUAGGACUGGGUAUAGGUACAGGAGGAUUGGUAUACAGGAUGAGUGGGAGAUGGGGAGAAGGUGGUGAAACUCAGAGGAAAGAAAUAAUGAGAGCUGACCUUGGUGGAAAGGUUGUAAGACAGCCAUCAGCCAUCUGGGCUGAGUGGCUUCUUGGGUGUUGGAUCCAGGAAAAGCAGAGGUGAUGACAGUAGGGGACCAAGGGCAGUUUCCAAGUCAUGAUUCAUUAUAUUUUAUAGUGCUCUAACACCUAGUUCUCAGCGCAUUCUGAUGGCGUUGGUACUAUUAGAACUAUCUUCUAACAGAGGGGAGGCAGCCUUGACAGAGACCACAGUGAGUCCCCCAGACCUCAGAAGAGCCAAUUCCAGUGUUCUGUUGUCAUCACCCCUGGGUGCUAGUCUACUAGUGGCCACCAGGGGGCAGAAAGAGGCCAGGAAUUCAGAUAGGCCGCGGCUUUCUUGAACUUCCCUAAGCCUUUCUUUGUGCAAAAGGGUUUGAUGAUCAAAUGGUUUGACCUCUGUUUUUUAUUUUGCCACAGAAUAAACUCAGACCCAGAGAGGAACAGUGACUAACCCAGGCUACAGGACCAAUCACAGGCAGAAGUGAGGCCUGCACUCUCACCCUGCCAGCAGCUUUGUCUGGGAAGGUGAGAGACACAGUGCGUAAGGAUUCUGAGCCCAGUCUGUCACUCCACCCACAGACAUGGAGGCUCCACACAGCCCACACUGCCCAGCACACAAAAAGGGUAGAGCAGCCAUUUCCUGAGUGAGACUCAUGACCAAGUACCUGAGAGCCUGGUACAGGGCCUAUUCUGAGAAUGAUGACCAGGACAGAAACACCAGGCAUGGACCUCACAGGAAGUAGCUGCUACAUUGUUGCUGGUGUCAUUAGGAGCAUGCUAUCCAGCAGUCCCUCUAGGAAGGUGUCUGCCUGUCACAUCAUUCACAGGUGUGAUGAGGAAGCCAAAAAUUCUCAGCAGCCCUGGGCUGUGAUGCACACUCUCCCUGCCCGAGUAGGCCUCCCCUCAUAGCUCAUUGGCUCCACUGGGAGCUCUGAGCCUGGCCCUAUGGUGGUUACCUGGUGCCACACCUGGACCCCCUGAGGUAAAUGAUAGGUGAAUAGAACAAGCAGAAACUUAAGCAGGUCAGGCCCAGGGCUCCCAGAAUCCCCAGACUGGGCCCUGAACAGCAAGCCCAGGGUACAGAAGGCCAUUCCUGGAAAUGUGGCUUGUGCCACCCCUGCCUAUCCAGAAUUAUACAGCACCAGUCAGGGCAUCCCCCAGAGGGCAUCCUGCCUUGGGGAUAGCCUUGGGGGCACCCCUCAGUCCGGGGCUACUUUGGGAUUAUCGGGGUCUGUUGAGAAGAAGGCUCGUGCCAGUGGUAGUAGAGGUGGCUUAGCACUCCUGAAUCUCCCUUUGCUGUCUGAGUCGGUGUGGGCUAGUAAGAGCAGGGGUCACUUCUGGCACUCCUUUUGUCUGGCUUUGGGGAUAUCCUAGUCAGGGGACAGGAGCCUAAACUCCUACUUUAGGAUGAUCUGUACAGAUACUGGCCAUGUAUCAAAGACUGCGAGCUCAAUCUGCAACAAGGUUCAGCCCUGCCCCUCGCUUGCCCUCCUGGGUACAGUGGAGGGCCCUGGAGUGGGCUGCACCUCCUAGAGAGAACAGUUGCUCCUCCCGAGUCCCUGCAGGCCUGGGCAGCCCCUCUGCACUGGGCUGGAUUGAGACUUGAUGCUGGCCUGCACUGGGACCAGCCCUGUCUGAAUGAAAGAGCCCCAUUGAGAUGGCCUCUUGUCUAGACACAGGCCCUGAGUGCUUGCUCAGGGGGAGGCAGGAUCCGGUUAGACCCAAGAGGCCUGGUGUUCCCUUCAUGGACCUCUGGGUGCUGGGUCACAGCUAUGGCAACCAACCCAUCCUCAGGGCCCAUCCCCACUCUACAAUCAGGGUUCCUUUCCCAAAUGCCCACUUUGGUUGAACCCGAAUUCCUCUGAGAGUAUUUUCUUCUUCACCAUAGACCCAGAUCUAUCUAGUCUGCACUUCGGACAAACUAUCGCCACAAGGUAGACAAUCUGCCCCAACACUGUGAAACCAGGUGACCUGGAUGCCCUGGAGGAGGGACAGUAAUGGAAAGCUCAGAAGCCCCAGAGUCCUAUGUAGUGCGGGGUGACAAUUGCUUCUUCCCCUAAAUGCCUACCUCGGGCAGCCAAGAAAGUGUCCCAGACUGGGCAUUACCUCAAGGCCCCUCGACAUCGUCCUGAGGCCAUGUAAGGACCUGACCUAAUCUGGCCCUGAGGUCAGGUUCCUCAGCUGAGGAUCGGUAAGGCUGAAGAAGGCGGCUGGCUUGGCGGGAGGCCUCCUUUGUACCAAGUCUUUUCUCAACGGUGGAGCUAGGCUGCCUGCCAGGUGCCAGGGUGCGGCUCUGGCCUCCCGCCCCACAAGCGGCUUUGCCGCCAAGCCCUGUACCUGGCUCUGCAGCAAUUUCCCGCGCUUCUUCUGCCAGGCCCGGCAAAGUGAGAGGCAGGGUGUUGUGGGGAAGACAAAGUAGGCGGGCUCCCAGCUCACCCAGCCCACAACUCUGGCAGGGAUUUUGAGCCUAUACAAAAGGACUGACUAGGGCUUUGGCAUUUAAAAUUGAACUCUCUCUCUCUCUCUCUCUCUCUCUCUCUCUCUCUCUCUCUCUCACACACACACACACACACACACACACACACACACACACACGUACGUAUAUACUCUUGCUCAGUAAAAUAGAACCUCAGCCCCACCAUGUAUUAGCUGUUGGACAGGGACAAGCCACUUAACCACAGAGCAUCAUUUUGGUUUGAAAAGGGAGGACAAUACUUGUUUGUAACUUAGGUUAUCGGGAUGACCAGAUAUUUGCCCAGGCCACUCUCAGAACCAAAUCUUUGGACUUGAAGAGCUGUGGAGGUCCUGGCCAUGGCUAUGGUGUUGCUAUCAAUGGGGAGAAUGCUCACAAACAUGCUUGGUUACACAGAAACAGAACUUCAUAACAAGUCUUCAGAGGUGUCACAUGGAAACCAAGAACAGGGGACAGCCAGGCCUAAAGGGGAAUGUGUUUGUGUGUGCACACAUACUGUUGUAGAUGUGGAAGUCAGUGGACAACGGGAAGGGGUCAGUCUUCUCUGUCCACUGUGUGGAGUCCUGGGGUCAAGCAUGUCAUCAAGCCUGGUGGCAGGAACCUUACUUAACUGCUAAAUCAAAUCACCAGCCGAAGGGCCAGGAUCUUAAAUACAAGUCACCGAGUGGCCAGAUGUUCCUCCAUCUCUCUGGCCCUGGCUGCCUCCCGCUAGCCUUUCCCUGAAUUUCCACAUUGUUCUCGUCUCUCUUGGCAGAUCCUCUGUGUCUCUGAACACAUAGCCGAGCAGCAGAAAUGAACUAAACAUGUCCCCAGAAGACCAUGUGCUGGGAGUCUGGCCCAGGGCAGCAGAGCUGAGGUGAUGGCAUUUGGAGGUAGAGCCUGAAGCAAGAUGAUGAGGUCAUCAGGAGCCCCGCCCUUGGAAGGAAACAAUGUAGUUCUUAGGGGACGCUGGUUGAGAGGAGCUCUGCAGAUGAGGCCCUCUUGACCCUAUGCCUUCCUGAGAGCUCUUCUGAAUAUGUUUGUCACUGUGAAGCUGUCCUGUUACGAUAAAUCCCUCUGCCAAAAGCCGCCCGAGCCCCACCGCCUCGUGGGAGCUCCACGCCAGCCGCCCGCCAGAGUCAGGGCCCAAAUGAAUACACAGAAACUUGUAUUAGGUACAAUGCUGCUUGGCCAAUGACUAGGAUUCUCAUCUGUUAGCUCAGUCUUAACUAUCAUAAACCUAUAUAUUUUAUAAGACUUACCUUAUCAGACGCCUUAUUGGCAUCCCUCCUUGCUGGUGGAUCACAUCAUGCCGCUGGAGCAGGAGC